GCUGGUGUCGGCGUGUCCCGUGCCGAUGUACUUCGACUGGAGAUGCUCCAGUUGACUGUGGAUGUUGUAUCUGUCCGUCAUGAUCGCUCAGAAUAAAGUCACGGAGGCUCUGAACAGAGAAGGGAGGACACGAGUCAGAGGCUGGAAGUUUCACCUGGGGAGUUCUGACCACCAACGUUAUCGGCAACUCAAAUAUCACAAACUCGGAUAUUCUCCUCUGGACAAGAGGUCAAUACACUUUGGUUCGGUUGAGUAGCUUCCUGCCACAGACGAGGGCAGCUCCAAGACAUGACACCUGAGCGAAAGGCGCCGUCUUCGCAGGAAGAGGGGACAUUCAACGCCACUUGGUACUAAUCACUAUGACAGGAUUAAUCACACUGCCAACUCUGAUGACAUAAUGCCAGGCUCCUCGACAACCCCACGCAUGACAGCGCGGUGUGAAAGGCAUUCGUGCAGACUUUACGUGGCUGCGAAACUCACACACACCGCCUCCCGAGAGUGUGCUGAUUAUGCUCUCUCACGCAGACACUCACAGAUUGUCUGGUGUGAUGAGGUUCACAUUGUUUUGUAUUACAGACGAAAUCUGAAGGAAAACUCCGCAACAACAGGACAACCUUUUUUUUUCCUCAACUCUCAAAAAAAGCUUCCUAAAUCACAUCAUUUUUUUUUAAUGCAAUCCCAGCUCGAAGCUCGUACUUGGUGUGGGAACAGGUUUCAGUCCGUUUUAAUGCCCUCUUUCUCUUCCUGUCAACUCGGUAAUACGUAUAGCACCAUAUGUCAAGCGAGUGACCGCUUGCUGAGUGAGGACGCAGGGUCAGCCAGGGCCAGUGGACACUCCUGCGCCGAGUCAGGCGAUUAAUGACUGAGAAUAACGCUUGAUUUAAAAUACCCAGAAAAAGGAAUAAAGGAUGGAGGGUGGCCAACUUUCAUAUAAAGGGUCCUGAACGUAAAAUUUAAGAGGAUAAAAUGCAGAAUUGCGUAGAAUUACUCAGAAAAAAAUGACGGAAGAUUACCACUCAUUUGCCCUUUGAGUGAAC